GAUGAAGAACGUAGCAAAAUGCGAUAAGUAAUGUGAAUUGCAGAAUUCAGUGAAUCAUCGAAUCUUUGAACGCACAUUGCGCCCGCCAGUAUUCUGGCGGGCGUGCCUGUUCGAGCGUCAUUUCAACCCUCAAGCACAGCUUGGUGUUGGGACUCGCGUUAAUUCGCGUUCCUCAAAUUGAUUGGCGGUCACGUCGAGCUUCCAUAGCGUAGUAGUAAAACCCUCGUUACUGGUAAUCGUCGCGGCCACGCCGUUAAACCCCAACUUCUGAAUGUUGACCUCGGAUCAGGUAGGAAUACCCGCUGAACUUAAGCAUAUCAAAAGCGAGGA
rnacentral:misc_RNA from 1 species